CCUCUUACUGCCAGCAGCAUGGCCAGGAUUAACCCCUUACUGCCCCAACCAUGGAGAUUAACCCCUUACUGCCAGCAGCACAGCCAGGAUUAACCCCUUACUGCCUCCAAUCAUGGAGAUUAACCCCUUACUGCCCACAGCACAGCCAGGAUUGACCCCUUACUGCUCCCAACCAUUGAAAUUAACCUCUUACUGCCCACAGCACAGCCAGGAUUAACCCCUUACUGCCCCAGCACAGCCAGGAUUAACCCCUUACUGCCCCCAUCCUUGGAGAUUAACCCCUCACGGCCCAAGCACAGCCAAGAUUAACCCCUCACUGCUCAAGGCACUGCCAGGAUUAACUCCUCACUGGCCCAGGACAGCUAGGAUUAACCCCUCAAUGCUCCCAGCACAGCCAGGAUUAACCCCUCACUGCCCCAGCACAGCCAG